GAUGCUGUGUACAACCAUGAACAUGGGUGCUCGGUUUGCCAUGAAUGAGGUUGGUUAAGUUCUUUGGCUUGUUUCUGAAUGGGGUAUUUUAUCUGUCCACAGGAUUUCCUCGCCCAGUAUGGAGUCUUAAAGUAGAAAGGAAAAUAGAUGCUGCUUUCUGAAGCCUAAGGUGCUCUGUGGCAGUGCUGGAGCCGCAUGCAGCACAGUGACCUUACAGGAGCUAAGUCGGAGCUCUUGGGGAGGUGCUGAUGCCAGUAAGAGCGAUUCAAGUGACUGACAGGGCAGGUGAUGCACACAGAGAAGGAGCAUCCCACAGCACAGCUACAGAACUGAGCACUUCCCCCGUGAAACCACCUGAGAGCUUCGGUGCUUUCGUACACAUCCUGUAAGGAACACAUGUCUUCGGAAGGCAAAGCUGCAACAAACAGAAAGCAGAGGGGCUCUGGGUCUUGAGCCCCAAACUACUGCAGGAUUGAGGGCCCAGGGGCAGAUCUCAAGGCAGGAUUAACAGAGCUGAGAACGUGCACCAAACCAAGUAAAACUUUGAACAAAACAGGAUUAGAGUUUGCUGCUAUAAAUGAGGAAAAAGGAAGAUGACAACUUAAGAGGCUUGGACUCCUGCACCACCUAAACUGAAGCCGGUGCCUCACUGCCCUCUGAAACCCGUUGCACCCCGCUGCAGAUGACACCCCCCUGCCACA